rnacentral:rRNA from 1 species
CCUACGGGUGGCAGCAGUAGGGAAUAUUGGUCAAUGGGCGAAAGCCUGAAUCAGCAACGCCGCGUGAGUGACGAAGGCCUUAGGGUCGUAAAGCUCUGUCGUACGGGAGACGGUACCGUGCAAGAAAGGACCGGCCAACUUCGUGCCAGCAGCCGCGGUAAGACGAGGGGUCCUAGCGUUGUUCGGAAUUACUGGGCGUAAAGCGCAUGUAGGCGGCUUUUUAAGUCAGAUGUGAAAGCCUCGGGCCUAACCUGAGAAGUGCAUUUGAUACUAUUAAGCUUGAAUAUGGGAGAGGGUAGUAGAAUUCCUGGUGUAGUGGUGAAAUACGUAGAUAUCAGGAGGAAUACCGGUGGCGAAGGCGGCUACCUGCCAAUAUUGACGCUGAGAUGCGAAAGCGUGGGGAUCAAACAGGAUUAGAUACCCUUGUAGUC